UCCUACGGGAGGCAGCAGUGGGGAAUAUUGCACAAUGGGGGAAACCCUGAUGCAGCGACGCCGCGUGCGGGAAGAAGGCCUUCGGGUUGUAAACCGCUUUCAAUUGGGAAGAAGAGAUGAGUGCUAAUAUCACUCUGAUUUGACGGUACCUUUAGAAGAAGCACCGGCUAAUUUCGUGCCAGCAGCCGCGGUAAUACGAAAGGUGCAAGCGUUGUUCGGAUUUACUGGGCGUAAAGAGAUCGUAGGUGGUUUGUUAAGUCGGAUGUGAAAUCCCGGGGCUCAACCUCGGAACUGCAUUCGAUACUGGCAGACUAGAGUUUGGGAGGGGUAAGCGGAAUUCCGUGUGUAGCAGUGAAAUGCGUAGAUAUACGGAGGAACACCUGAGGCGAAGGCGGCUUACUGGACCAAUACUGACACUGAGGAUCGAAAGCGUGGGUAGCAAACAGGAUUAGAUACCCUGGUAGUCCACGCCCUAAACGAUGUCUACUAGCCGUAGCGGGUAUCGACCCCUGCUGUGGCGAAGCUAACGCGAUAAGUAGACCGCCUGGGGAGUACGGUCGCAAGAUUAAAACUCAAAGGAAUUGACGGA
rnacentral:rRNA from 1 species